rnacentral:tRNA from 11 species
CCUGGUGUUAAGACGCCAGGCUAGUAACCUGGGGGUCUCUGGUUCGAAUCCGG